GACGAACGCUGGCGGCGUGCUUAACACAUGCAAGUCGAACGAUGAACCCGGAGCUUGCUCCGGCGGAUUAGUGGCGAACGGGUGAGUAACACGUGAGUAACCUGCCCUUGACUCUGGGAUAACUGCGGGAAACUGUAGCUAAUACCGGAUACGACCCUCGGCGGCAUCGCCAGGGGGUGGAAAGAACUUCGGUCAAGGAUGGACUCGCGGCCUAUCCGAUAGUUGGUGAGGUAACGGCUCACCAAGGCGACGACGGGUAGCCGGCCUGAGAGGGUGACCGGCCACACUGGGACUGAGACACGGCCCAGACUCCUACGGGAGGCAGCAGUGGGGAAUAUUGCACAAUGGGCGCAAGCCUGAUGCAGCAACGCCGCGUGAGGGAUGACGGCCUUCGGGUUGUAAACCUCUUUUAGUAGGGAAGAAGCGAAAGUGACGGUACCUGCAGAAAAAGCACCGGCUAACUACGUGCCAGCCGCCGCCGUAA
rnacentral:rRNA from 1 species